ensembl:lncRNA
GCCAGAGGGAGAGUGGGGAAGAGUCCUGGUGCAGGGCUCUCUCCACUGGCAAACACACACAGGAACAAACACACACAGCAUCACAGCGAGGACAGUCCCUUCUCCUGUAUCACCUGGGCGGGCAGAGAUCAGCACCCACAGCUCUGUCAGUGCCCCGAGCAGGGGGAGAGUCCCCUUUCCUCACCCCCUCAGCAGUCCCUCCCUCUCCUACUGGUGGUAGAGAGAGAAGCAUUGUCUGUCCCAGAAAAGAGACCAACAUUGCUGGUGCGAUCGUGCCCUGAACGUGUGCAUCGGGAAAACUAGAGCUUCCCCGUGGCUCAGAAGUAAAGAAUCUGCCCGCCAAUGCAGGAGACGCAGGAAAUGCGGGUUUGAUCGCUGGGUGGGGAAGAUCCCCUGGAGAAGGAAAUGACAACCCACUCCGGUAUUCUUGCCUGGGAAAUCCCUUGGACAGAGGAGCUUGGUGGUCUACAAGCCAAGGGGUCGCAAACAGUCAGACACAGACACAACUUAGUGACUAAACAACAACAACAAACCAUAAUAAUACCACAGCAAACAGUGAUCAAGUGCUCAAGGUGCCCCAUCCCUAUUGUGCUGAGUGCUGCACGUGUGUGGACCCAGCUGCUUCUCCCAACAUCACCGCCAGGAGGUACAGUUAUUACCAUCUGUGAGGAACCUGAGACAAGGCCAUGUGAACAGCAGGAGAUCCAACCUGCAGUGGACACUGAUGGUCGCUAGAUGGCGCAAUGGACCAACGUACGGCCUCCGCCCCGCUGCGGGACCCGGUUAAGAAAGAAGGCGCGGCGCUGCCGCAGAGCCCUGCAUUAUUGAUUGUAAGGCUGCCGCAGAGGUGGGAGGAGCCCGCCGCCAUCUCGCCAGGUCUCCCGCAGCAUCCGGGACGGCCCUUCAAGAUGCUUUCCCCUCCCUGCCAAGGCCCUUGAUGUGGGAGGAGAGAGCUCUGUGUUGCACAGUUUUCUCAUUCAUAGGAAUACCGGAUCUCUUCAAUAGUCAGAAUUAUUUUUGUUUCACGUUGUCAUUGUGAACAACGGCUCCUAAGAAUAGCAACUGUACUUCUUGAAUGCCACCGCCUUUUAAGUUAAUAUCUGUUUUUAAAUAUUAUCGAGUAUAAUUAAAAGGCAUUAAAUCAU